AGUGGGCUCGAAUUUGUUCGUUAUCGAUUUGAAAUCGAUUAAUUUUAUGUUAAGACAUAAGGCUCAUUU
rnacentral:tRNA from 1 species